AAAUAGAGGAAAAGAAACUAACAAGGAUUCCCCUAGUAACGGCGAGUGAAGCGGGAAGAGCUCAAAUUUGAAAUCUGGUAGCCUUCGGUUGCCCGAGUUGUAAUCUAGAGAAGUGUUUUCCGUGCCGGCCCAUGUACAAGUCCCUUGGAACAGGGCGUCAUAGAGGGUGAGAAUCCCGUCCUUGACAUGGACCCCCGGUGCUUUGUGAUACACUUUCAACGAGUCGAGUUGUUUGGGAAUGCAGCUCAAAAUGGGUGGUGAAUUCCAUCUAAAGCUAAAUAUUGGCGAGAGACCGAUAGCGAACAAGUACCGUGAGGGAAAGAUGAAAAGCACUUUGGAAAGAGAGUUAAACAGUACGUGAAAUUGUUGAAAGGGAAACGAUUGAAGUCAGUCAUGCUCUUGGGACUUACCUCCCUUGAGUGGGGUCAACAUCAGUUUUGAUCGAUGGAUAAAGGCACGGGGAAGGUAGCACUCUCGGGUGAACUUAUAGCCUCGCGUCAUAUACAUUGAUUGGGACUGAGGAACGCAGCAUGCCUUUUGGCCGGGAUUCGUCCACGUACAUGCUUAGGAUGUUGACAUAAUGGCUUUAAACGACCCGUCUGAAAACGGGGGGAAAAAAAA
rnacentral:rRNA from 1 species